UACGUAGGGGGCAAGCGUUGUCCGGAAUCAUUGGGCGUAAAGAGCGUGUAGGUGGCUCGGUAAGUCCGCUGUAAAAGUCCAGGGCUCAACCCUGGAAAGCCGGUGGAAACUGUCGAGCUAGAGUCCGGAAGAGGCGAGUGGAAUUCCUGGUGUAGCGGUGAAAUGCGCAGAUAUCAGGAGGAACACCAAUGGCGAAGGCAGCUCGCUGGGACGGUACUGACACUGAGACGCAAAAGCGUGGGGAGCAAACAGG
rnacentral:rRNA from 1 species